AACAGGAUUAGAUACCCUGGUAGUCCACGCCGUAAACGAUGAGUGCUAGGUGUUGGGGGGCUACGCCCCUCAGUGCCGAAGGUAACCCAUUAAGCACUCCGCCUGGGGAGUACGGCCGCAAGGCUGAAACUCAAAGGAAUUGACGGGGGCCCGCACAAGCGGUGGAGCAUGUGGUUUAAUUCGAAGCAACGCGAAGAACCUUACCAGGGCUUGACAUCCCGCUGACCCCUCCAGAGAUGGAGGUUUCCUUCGGGACAGCGGUGACAGGUGGUGCAUGGUUGUCGUCAGCUCGUGUCGUGAGAUGUUGGGUUCAGUCCCGCAACGAGCGCAACCCUUGUCGUUAGUUGCCAGCAUUUCGGAUGGGCACUCUAACGAGACAGCCGGUGAAAGCCGGAGGAAGGUGGGGAUGACGUCAAAUCAUCAUGCCCCUUAUGUCCUGGGCUACACACGUGCUACAACGGCUGGUACAAAGGGCAGCGAACCCGCGAGGGGGAGCCAAUCCCAAAAAGCCAGUCUCAGUUCGGAUCGCAGGCUGCAACUCGCCUGCGUGAAGCCGGAAUCGCUAGUAAUCGCGGAUCAGCAUGCCGCGGUGAAUAUGUUCCCGGGCCUUGUACACACCGCCCGUCACACCACGAGAGUUUGCAACACCCGAAGUCGGUGAGGCAACCUUUUAGGAGCCAGCCGCCGAAGGUGGGGCAGAUGAUUGGGGUGAAGUCGUAACAAGGUAACC
rnacentral:rRNA from 1 species